UGGGGAAUCUUGCGCUAAUGCGCGAAAGCGUGACGCAGCGACGCCGCGGGGGGGAUGAAGGCCUUCGGGUUGUAAACCCCUUUCGGCAGGGACGAAGCGGAAGUGACGGUACCUGCAGAAGAAGCUCCGGCUAACUACGUGCCAGCAGCCGCGGUAACACGUAGGGAGCGAGCGUUGUCCGGAUUCAUUGGGCGUAAAGCGCGCGUAGGCGGUCGUGCAAGUCGGUCGUGAAAUCCCGGGGCUCAACCG
rnacentral:rRNA from 1 species